rnacentral:rRNA from 1 species
GAGUUUGAUCAUGGCUCAGGAUGAACGCUAGCGGCAGGCCUAAUACAUGCAAGUCGAGGGGCAGCACGGUAGCAAUACUGGUGGCGACCGGCGCACGGGUGCGUAACACGUAUACAAUCUGCCCUUAACAGGGGGAUAGCCCGGAGAAAUCCGGAUUAAUACCCCAUAACAAUGAGGUUGGCAUCAACCUUAUUUAAAAGCUCCGGCGGUUAAGGAUGAGUAUGCGUCUGAUUAGCUAGUUGGUGAGGUAACGGCUCACCAAGGCGACGAUCAGUAGGGGAUCUGAGAGGAUUAACCCCCACACGGAUACUGAGACACGGAUCCGACUCCUACGGGAGGCAGCAGUAAGGAAUAUUGGACAAUGCCCGCAAGGGUGAUCCAGCCAUGCCGCGUGCAGGAAGACGGCCCUAUGGGUUGUAAACUGCUUUUGUACCGGAGAAAACCUCCCCUCGUGAGGGGAGCUGAUAGUAUGGUAAGAAUAAGC